AUACAAAUGGCGCACGGCGCACGGGUGCGUAACACGUGGGUAACCUGCCCUUUAGUGGGGAAUAACCCCGGGAAACCGGGGCUAAUACCGCAUAAGAUCCGCACGGAUGAAAGCCGUAAGGCGCUGAUGGAGGGGCCCGCGCACGAUUAGCUAGUUGGUAGGGUAACGGCCUACCAAGGCUAU
rnacentral:rRNA from 1 species